rnacentral:rRNA from 1 species
GUGACCUCAAAUCAGGUAGGACUACCCGCUGAACUUAAGCAUAUCAAUAAGCGGAGGAAAAGAAACUAACAAGGAUUCCCCUAGUAACUGCGAGUGAAGCGGGAAAAGCUCAAAUUUAAAAUCUGGCGGUCCUUUGGCUGUCCGAGUUGUAAUCUAGAGAAGUGUUAUCCGCGCUGGACNN